rnacentral:rRNA from 1 species
AGGAAGCAGACGCCGAAGGUAAAGCCGAUGAUUGGCGCGAAGUCGUAACAAGGUAGCCGUAUCGGAAGGUGCGGCUGGAUCACCUCCUUUCUGG